rnacentral:rRNA from 1 species
GAUGAACGCUAGCUACAGGCUUAACACAUGCAAGUCGAGGGGAAACGACAUCGAAAGCUUGCUUUUGAUGGGCGUCGACCGGCGCACGGGUGAGUAACGCGUAUCCAACCUGCCCACCACUUGGGAAUAACCUUGCGAAAGUAAGACUAAUACCCAAUGAUAUCCCACGAAGGCAUCCGAAUGGGAUUAAAGAUUCAUCGGUGAUGGAUGGGGAUGCGUCUGAUUAGCUUGUUGGCGGGGUAACGGCCCACCAAGGCGACGAUCAGUAGGGGUUCUGAGAGGAAGGACCCCCACAUUGGAACUGAGACACGGUCCAAACUCCUACGGGAGGCAGCAGUGAGGAAUAUUGGUCAAUGGGCGAGAGCCUGAACCAGCCAAGUAGCGUGCAGGAUGACGGCCCUAUGGGUUGUAAACUGCUUUUAUAAGGGAAUAAAGUGAGUCUCGUGAGACUUUUUGCAUGUACCUUAUGAAUAAGGACCGGCUAAUUCCGUGCCAGCCGCCGCCGUAA